AUGGUUCAGACUGCUCACAAGAGAAAACUACCUAUGGUUGUGCUGAAGCUUGAUUUUCGGAAAGCCUUUGACACGGUUAGCUGGCAAUGCCUCUUCACCAUCAUGGAAGCUAGGGGUUUUCCUCGGCGCUGGAUUCGUUGGGUCUCCUCUCUCCUAUCGACUGCCAGCUCCAAGGUUUUGAUUAAUGGGCAGCUUGGGGAGUCCUUCAGUGCAAAGAAGGGUUUAAGGCAAGGCGAUUCCACGUCACCUUACUUGUUCAUCCUGGUUGCAGACGUGCUGCAAAGGCUUUGUUGUGCCCAGUUUGAAGCUGGAAACCUGGUUCACCUGCUUGGAUCUGAUCGAAUGUUUCCAGUGUUACAAUACGCGGAUGACACGCUGCUGCUCUUCCAAGGCAACCUGCAACAAGCCAAUGUCAUCAAGCAGAUCCUAACUGCCUUCUCGGAUUUCUCGGGCUUACAUAUCAAUUUUCACAAAAGUACUCUAGUUCUUGUUUGCAUGGACAGCACGGUUGCCAGUCAGAUUGCUGCUCUCUUUGGAUGCCUUGUGUCCUCGUUCCCCUGCACAUACCUAGGGCUUCCUCUCUCCUUGCAUAAAAUCAGACAUGGUAUGCUUCUGCCAGUUAUACACAGGGUCGAUAAGAGGUUGUCUGGAUGGUUAGCUUCUCUUCUGUUUGCUGGAGGCCGGUUAACUUUGAUAAACUCAGUCCUAGCUAGUAUUCCUAGCUACUUUAUGACUUGUUUUCUAUGGCCGAAGGAGUCCAUUGCUAAGCUCGAGAGUUUGUUGCGGGCGUUUUUUGGCAAGGCAGAGCUACUGUUAAGGGUGGACAAUGUUUAG
rnacentral:rRNA from 1 species